rnacentral:tRNA from 1 species
ACUAGUAGUUUAUAAAGAAUGUUUGAUUGUUAAUCAAUUGGUGGGUAAUAGCUCUUGGUUUAAC